GCUUUUUUUUUUUUUUUCCAUAGUCUUUUCAAAUUAUUUACUAAUGAUCAUGCUAAUUAACUGAUUUGAGACACUUUCAUAAAGCAAAUUUCACCAUAUUACCAGCAAUAUGUUCAAUUAAUUUUUAAUAAACGAGUUAUUUUUCUAAUCAGUUUGACAAAUGUUAACUUCACAAGUAUUUGAUCAUUAUUAUUUAUUUUUUUUUAUUU
rnacentral:misc_RNA from 1 species